rnacentral:tRNA from 1 species
GCCUGGAUGGCUCAGUCAGUAGAGCAUGUGACUCUUGAUCUCAGGGUUGUGAGUUCAAGCCCCAUGUUCGGUG